GGCGGACGGGUGAGUAACGCGUGGGAACGUGCCCUUCUCUAUGGAAUAGCCACUGGAAACGGUGAGUAAUACCAUAUACGCCCUUCGGGGGAAAGAUUUAUCGGAGAAGGAUCGGCCCGCGUUAGAUUAGGUAGUUGGUGGGGUAAUGGCCUACCAAGCCUACGAUCUAUAGCUGGUUUUAGAGGAUGAUCAGCCACACUGGGACUGAGACACGGCCCAGACUCCUACGGGAGGCAGCAGUGGGGAAUCUUAGACAAUGGGCGCAAGCCUGAUCUAGCCAUGCCGCGUGAGUGAUGAAGGCCUUAGGGUCGUAAAGCUCUUUCGCCAGAGAUGAUAAUGACAGUAUCUGGUAAAGAAACCCCGGCUAACUCCGUGCCAGCAGCCGCGGUAAUACGGAGGGGGUUAGCGUUGUUCGGAAUUACUGGGCGUAAAGCGCAC
rnacentral:rRNA from 1 species